rnacentral:rRNA from 1 species
AGCGAACGCUGGCGGCAGGCCUAACACAUGCAAGUCGAGCGCCCGGAGCAAUCCGGGAGCGGCAGACGGGAGAGUAACACGUGGGAACGUACCCUUCAGUUCGGAACAACCCAGGGAAACUUGGGCUAAGACCGGAUACGCCCUUUUGGGGAAAGAUUUAUCGCUGAGAGAUCGGCCCGCGUCUGAUUAGCUAGUUGGUGAGGUAAAGGCUCACCAAGGCGACGAUCAGUAGCUGGUCUGAGAGGAUGAUCAGCCACAUUGGGACUGAGACACGGCCCAAACUCCUACGGGAGGCAGCAGUGGGGAAUAUUGGACAAUGGGCGCAAGCCUGAUCCAGCCAUGCCGCGUGAGUGAUGAAGGCCUUAGGGUUGU